rnacentral:lncRNA from 1 species
AAAAAGUUAUAUGGUGAUGUUCAAUUAUUAUUUUGCAACCUGUUUUCUAUUUGAAAUUAUUAGUGCAGGCAAGUUACUUGAGGACAAGCAAUAAUUCAAGUUUGGGGUUGUGAUGACACUCUAUCAUUGCAUGCUUUCUGUCAAAGAAAUAGAUCAAAACAAGUUAAAGAGGAGCAAAAAUGAAGAAUAAAGGCCCAAGGAAGGGAAAAAAA